AUUGAACGCUGGCGGCAGGCCUAACACAUGCAAGUCGAACGAGAGGCGGACGGGUGAGCAAGGACUGGGAAACUGCCUGAUGGAGGGGGAUAAAUACUGGAAACGGUAGCUAAUACCGCAUACAAUCAGAUGUGCCCAGAUGGGAUGAGCGAGUUGGUGGGGUAACGGCUCACCAAGGCCACGAUCCCUAGCUGGUCUGAGAGGAUGACCAGCCACACUGGAACUUAGACACGGUCCAGACUCCUACGGGAGGCAGCAGUGGGGAAUAUUGCACAAUGGGCGCAAGCCUGAUGCAGCCAUGCCGCGUGUAUGAAGAAGGCCUUCGGUUUGUAAAGUACUUUCAGCGGGGAGGCGUUACCCGCAGAAGAAGCACCGGCUAACUCCGUGCCAGCAGCCGCGGUAAUAC
rnacentral:rRNA from 1 species